CCCAACCACGAAGCUUAAAGGGAACGUAGGGUCAAAAAUCAAAUUUUGAUAUGUGAAAACUGGUACCAUGCAGACAACAAAAUCUAGCAUAGAAAAAAUAAUUGCUGCUGAUAACAAGAUUUAAUCUGUCAUUUACACUGAAAACUGAGCUGAAUGGGAGAAUCUCUUAUCAUGGCGGCUGAUGACGUGUAUGCGGCAAUUCAUUACAACUGCUGUGCCUAUAGCACUAAAUGGGUUACAGAGUAUCUAUAAUUUAAAUGUUGGGAGUUCAAGCGAAAUUUUGCACUGUGGUCAAAGGAAAAGGAAUACAUGUAUCUACCUUUUAGCAUCCCUGAUCUCCCCAAAAACUAUGAACAUUGUGCAAGAAUUGGAUACAUAACCUUGGAAAUGAAUAUUUUGUUUUUGAACGGCAUUUUGAGAAAGAUUCUUUUAAAGAGGAUAUCAGGCUAAUCCAUUUUCUUUUGGAAACCUAUUGACCAACCUGGACUAUUAGCAUCUAAGGAAACAGCUCAAUGAAGACAUCAAUAGUGACAAAACUAUCCCACUCUCAAU